rnacentral:rRNA from 1 species
CCUACGGGAGGCAGCAGUGGGGAAUUUUGGACAAUGGGCGAAAGCCUGAUCCAGCAAUGCCGCGUGAGUGAAGAAGGCCUUCGGGUUGUAAAGCUCUUUUGUCAGGGAAGAAACGGCUGAGGAUAAUACCUUUGGCUAAUG